ensembl:snRNA U6 U6 spliceosomal RNA
CUGCUCACUUUGGCAGCACAUAUACCAAAACUGGAACAAUAUAGAGAUUAGCAUAGCCCCUGCUCAAGGAUGACAUGCAAGUCUGUGAAGCGUUCCAUAAAAAA